AGUCUGUUAUAUGUCUGUGUCAUAACUCAUAAAUGAUCAUAUGUCAGCUUUUCUGUAUCUGUUGAAGCAGAACUGCGUGAGAAUCAAUAUUAGUGGCUGUCUGCCACCACGAAUGACGCACCUCACACGAUCAAUGGAUUUUUGCUGUGGGUUAGUAUUCAUGAUUCAGAUUGGUAUUUGUAUGUAUAUGGGUAUCAGGUAUUGCGGGUCCAUGGCUUCCAAUAGAUGCAAGCAUCUACUGUUAAUUACCCCUGUGGAUUGGGGCACCUUCGAUUAAGAGACCUUUAUAGAUGGGAUGAGAUAAAUCGUGUCUUGGUUUAUUGAAUCCUAAGUAUAUGUAUUAGGAUUCAGUUGGAUUUGAGAUUGACUAGGUCCUAAGUAUAUGUGUUAAGACCUAGUCGAUAUUAAACUCUAUGUAUUAGAGUCUAAUUGGCUCUAAGUUUAUGUCUUAAGAGUCCGAUUAUAUUCACCUUGGUUGUAUAUUCUAAGAUGGAGAUGUGACUCGAUCCCAAGUAUAUGUAUUGAGGUGGGUCGAAUUACCUGAAAGUAGAGAAUGGUUAAUUCCUGAGUAUGUGUAUCAGGAUUAACCGAGUUUAAUAUAUUUUUCACUCUAGUUAUAUGUGCUAGAGUGAGGAUCUGACUAAGCCCUAAGGUGUUAUGCUAGGGUUCGUCGGAUUUGGUUUCAUGAGCUCUAAGUAUAUGUAUUAGAACUCGAUCGGGUAUGGAUUUCACUCUAGGUAAGUGUGCUAGAGCAAAAAGGCUGACUAGACCCUAAGCAUACGGGUUAGGAUUAGUCGAGCUUGGUUUGACUACCCACUCUAGGUAUAUGUGGUAGAGUGAAAGGUUGACUAGGCCCUAAGGGUAUGUAUUAGGGUUAGUCGGAUGAACUCUAAGUAUAUGUGUUAGAGUUCGAAUGAAUUUGAUAUAAUUCGACUGAAUUCUAAGUAUAUAAUUUAGUACUCUGUCGAUUUGGAGAUGUUUUGUCUUAGUUAUAUGUGCUAAGGCAAUUGACUUACCCCUAAGUAUAUGUAUUAGGGGUAGUCGAUAUUUAAUUUUUACUCUAGGUAUAUGAGCUAGAGUAAAGAAAAGGUUUAUGAUGAAUUUUGGGCAUGAGAUUUUGGUAUUGAUUCAUGAGAUUUGGGUAUAUAGGAUUUGAAUAUGAUUCAGUUCAUGAGGUUAAGAUAUAGUUCAUAUGGUUAAUGAGAUUUGGAUAUAGUUUGGUGCAUGGCUCAUAGGAUUUGGUUUAUGAACUCGGAUACGAUUUAUUGGAUUUGGUGUGUGGGAUUUGGUUCAUAGGAUGUGGUGUAUGGUUCAUAAGGUUUGGUUUAUUGUUCGUGGUGUUUGGUUCACGAACUUAGUUCAUGAUUUAUAGGGUUUGGUUCACGAACUUCGGUAUGGUUAAUGGGAUUGGGUUCAUGAACUUGGUGUAUGGUUCAUGGGAUUUGGUUUAUGGUUCAUGAAUGUAAGGCACUGAGUUUUUGCAAAUUGCAAGGUUCGAGUGUUUAAUUUGUGUUUCGAACUUUUCCACAUUUUCCGGAGGGUCGUAGACAGUGUUUCGACCUAUGGCUCGCAUCCCGAGAAUUGUGGUUUAAAAUCUUGCACCAAAACCCAAA
rnacentral:lncRNA from 1 species